UGCGUAGGCGGUUAUCUAAGUCACGUGUGAAAUCUUCCGGCUCAACCGGAAAACUGCGCGUGAUACUGGAUGACUUGAGUGAGGUAGGGGUGUGUGGAACUUCCGGUGGAGCGGUGAAAUGUGUAGAGAUCGGAAGGAACGCCAGCAGCGAAAGCGGCACACUGGGCCUUUUCUGACGCUGAGGCACGAAAGCUAGGGGAGUGAACGGGAUUAGAUACCCCGGUAAUCCUAGCCGUAAACACUGAACACUGGAGGACGGGGGUUUCGGCCUUCGUUCUCGUAGCGAAAGCGUUAAGUGUUCCGCCUGGGGAGUAUGGUCGCAAGGCUGAA
rnacentral:rRNA from 1 species